UAUCCGCGUCUGUCACAUGCG
rnacentral:piRNA from 1 species